CUAUCAUGCAAGUCGAGCGAACAGACGAGGAGCUUGCUCCUCUGACGUUAGCGGCGGACGGGUGAGUAGCACGUGGAUAACCUACCUAUAAGACUGGGAUAGCUUCGGGAAACCGGAGCUAAUACCGGAUAAUAUAUUGAACCGCAUGGUCCAAUAGUGAAAGACGGUUUUGCUGUCACUUAUAGAUGGAUCCGCGCCGCAUUAGCUAGUUGGUAAGGUAACGGCUUACCAAGACAACGAUGCGUAGCCGACCUGAGAGGGUGAUCGGCCACACUGGAACUGAGACACGGUCCAGACUCCUACGGGAGGCAGCAGUAGGGAAUCUUCCGCAAUGGGCGAAAGCCUGACGGAGCAACGCCGCGUGAGUGAUGAAGGUCUUCGGAUCGUAAAACUCUGCUACUAGGGAAGAACAAAUGUGUAAGUAACUAUGCACGUCUUGACGGUACCUAAUCAGAAAGCCACGGCUAACUACGUGCCAGCAGCCGCGGUAAUACGUAGGUGGCAAGCGUUAUCCGGAAUUAUUGGGCGUAAAGCGCGCGUAGGUGGUUUUUUAAGUCUGAUAUGAAAGCCCACGGCUCAACCGUGGAGGGUCAUUGGAAACUGGAAAACUUGAGUGCAGAAGAGGAAAGUGGAAUUCCAUGUGUAGCGGUGAAAUGCGCAGAGAUAUGGAGGAACACCAGUGGCGAAGGCGACUUUCUGGUCUGUAACUGACGCUGAUGUGCGAAAGCGUGGAGAUCAAACAGGAUUAGAUACCCUGGUAGUCCACGCCGUAAACGAUGAGUGCUAAGUGUUAAGGGGUUUCCGCCCCUUAGUGCUGCAGCUAACGCAUUAAGCACUCCGCCUGGGGAGUACGACCGCAAGGCUGAAACUCAAUGGAAUUGACG
rnacentral:rRNA from 1 species